rnacentral:lncRNA from 1 species
GCCGAGGUCCUCUUCUAGGAUUGGUUGUCCACUCAUAACCAUAAGAUAAUUAAAACGGGGGGGGGCAGGGUAAAAAAAAAACCCUUUUAUCAGCCAUAGGUUAAUGCAAGUGUUUAACAGAUGCUUCGCUAUUAAAAUAUUUCCCCCCAAUACUGAAGAAUCUUAAACCAGCAACCCUAACAGAGAUUGCGAAGAUUUUCAAAGUGGGGCACCUCGAUUUCUCGAAUCUGUGGUGUGGCGAAUAUCCGUGUUCCUCCUGCUUAACUAGCCUGUUUGAAGGCACAGUUCAUUCUCGAGCAAUUCGUCACCUCCUGGGGGUCUUCUCUUCCCGUCUACAGGAGAGUGUGACUUCAGAAAGAACUUCGGAUUGGCCAAGGCAGGUCUGAUUCUAUUUAUUCUAAAGACAGAGUUGGAGAUGGGCUACCAUUGGUGUUGAUUGAGAUGACAAGCAGUCACCUGAGCCCAUACAGCUGGAUUGACAUAUGAGAAUCAGAGAAAUGAAUGAAAGAUUAGAGUGGGAGAAAGUGCUUGCUGCCAAGCUUGAUGACCUAAAUUGAAUACCUGGAACCUACACGACAGAAAGAGAGAGCUGACUGCUGAAAGAUGUCCUCAGAUCUUCACAUGUGCACAGUGGCACCUAUCCAACCAUGCACAUAGUAUAUUAAAAAUUAUUUUUUAAAAAAUCCA